rnacentral:rRNA from 1 species
UACGUAGGGGGCAAGCGUUGUCCGGAUUUAUUGGGCGUAAAGAGCGUGUAGGCGGCCACACAGGUCAGCUGUGAAAACUCGAGGCUCAACCUCGAGACGUCGGUUGAAACCGUAUGGCUAGAGUCCGGAAGAGGAGAGUGGAAUUCCCGGUGUAGCGGUGAAAUGCGCAGAUAUCGGGAAGAACACCCGUGGCGAAGGCGGCUCUCUGGGACGGUACUGACGCUGAGGAGCGAAAGCGUGGGGAGCAAACAGG